CCUACGGGAGGCAGCAGUGGGGGAUAUUGGACAAUGGGGGGAACCCUGAUCCAGCGACGCCGCGUGAGUGAAGAAGUAUGUCGGGAUGUAAAGCUCUGUCAGCAGGGAAGAAAGAAAUGACGGUACCGGACCAAGAAGCCACGGCUAACGACGUGCCAGCAGCCGCGGUAAUACGUAGGGGGCAAGCGUUAUCCGGAAUUACGGGGUUUAAAGGGAGCGUAGACGGUUAAGUAAGUCUGGAGUGAAAGGCCGGGGCCCAACCCCGGGACUGCUCUGGAAACUAUUGAACUUGAGUGCAGGAGAGGUCAGCGGAAUUCCUAGUGUCGCGGUUCCAUGCGUAGAUCUUAGGCGGAACCCCAGUGGCGACGGCGGCUUACUGGACUGUAACUGACGUUGCGGCUCGACAGCGUGGGGCGCAAACAGGAUUAGAUACCCUUGUAGUC
rnacentral:rRNA from 1 species